UUAUAUAUAUAUAUAUAUAUAUUAAUCUAAAAAUUACCGUUUUUUUAUAAGUAGGGCGAGUUGGCAGAAGUAGUAUUAAACAGGGUUCUCGCUAAGGCGAGUCCAUGAGUCCUGGACUUAUCAAAAUCUGUCUGGACUCACCAUUUUCAAAACUGGUGAGUCUACAAAUACAUCAAUAUUGAAAUAUUUUGUAUAAACUGAACACAGUUACCAUGACUCACCGUGGCCAAAAAUGACGAGUCCCUGGACUCGCCUUCAAAAAUCCUUAGCGAG
rnacentral:lncRNA from 1 species